GGUUCAUGUUAAGUUUAUGUGACAGUCGUAAUAAAGCUUUAUAUUUAGGAGUAUCAACAUAAUAUCAAUGAUUAGUAAAGAAGGCGAGACAUUUCAGUGUGUGCACUCUUGUAUAAAUAUAUAACUAUAUUUGGUUUAUGCAUACAUUAAAGGUCCUCAUGCCCGCCAGACUGUUUUCACUACACGUUUACGUCAUUUCAUGGAUCAGUGAAUAUGGUUAAUUUUUCGUUGUCAAGUCUAUUUCUCAGAAACUAUGAGCAAUGGGUCUACACUAUUUCGUGUAUCCAAUGAUUGAAAGGUG
rnacentral:lncRNA from 1 species